rnacentral:rRNA from 1 species
CCGGCGACCGGCGCACGGGUGAGUAACACGUAUGCAACCUGGCCGUCACAGGUGGAUAACCGGAAGAAAUUCCGACUAAUACAGCAUAACACUCCUGAGGGACAUCCCUUGGGAGUCAAAGGAGGCAACUCCGGUGACGGAUGGGCAUGCGGCGCAUUAGGUAGUUGGUAGGGUAACGGCCUACCAAGCCGACGAUGCGUAGGGGUUCUGAGAGGAAGGUCCCCCACAUUGGAACUGAGACACGGUCCAAACUCCUACGGAAGGCAGCAG